UGCGGGAUGGUGCAAUGGUAACACGCCACGCUCUGGACGUGGAAUUCUAGGUUCGAAUCCUAGUCCCGCAG
rnacentral:tRNA from 1 species